rnacentral:rRNA from 1 species
UGGGGAAUAUUGCACAAUGGGCGCAAGCCUGAUGCAGCGACGCCGCGUGGGGGAUGACGGCCUUCGGGUUGUAAACUCCUUUCGCCAGGGACGAAGCGUUUUGUGACGGUACCUGGAGAAGAAGCACCGGCUAACUACGUGCCAGCAGCCGCGGUAAUACGUAGGGUGCAAGCGUUGUCCGGAAUUACUGGGCGUAAAGAGCUCGUAGGUGGUUUGUCACGUCGUCUGUGAAAUUCCACAGCUUAACUGUGGGCGUGCAGGCGAUACGGGCUGACUUGAGUACUGUAGGGGUAACUGGAAUUCCUGGUGUAGCGGUGAAAUGCGCAGAUAUCAGGAGGAACACCGAUGGCGAAGGCAGGUUACUGGGCAGUUACUGACGCUGAGGAGCGAAAGCAUGGGUAGCAAACAGGAUUAGAUACCCUGGUAGUCCAUGCCGUAAACGGUGGGCGCUAGGUGUAGGGGCCUUUUGGGGUUUCUGUGCCGUAGCUAACGCAUUAAGCGCCCCGCCUGGGGAGUACGGCCGCAAGGCUA